rnacentral:rRNA from 1 species
CCUACGGGGGGCUGCAGUGAGGAAUCUUCCACAAUGGGCGAAAGCCUGAUGGAGCAACGCCGCGUGCAGGAUGAAGGCCUUCGGGUUGUAAACUGCUUUUAUGAACGAAGAAUAUGACGGUAGUUCAUGAAUAAGCACCGGCUAACUACGUGCCAGCAGCCGCGGUCAUACGUAGGGUGCAAGCAUUAUCCGGAGUGACUGGGCGUAAAGAGUUGCGUAGGCGGUCUGAUUAGCGAAUAGUGAAACCUGGUGGCUCAACCAUACAGACUAUUAUUCGAACUGUCAGACUCGAGAGUGGUAGAGGUAACUGGAAUUUCUUGUGUAGGAGUGAAAUCCGUAGAUAUAAGAAGGAACACCAAUGGCGUAGGCAGGUUACUGGACCAUUUCUGACGCUAAGGCACGAAAGCGUGGGGAGCGAACCGGCUUAGAUACCCUAGUAGUC